CCGAAACCCUUAAAUAAGCCAAGUUCAGGCUCCCAGCAAAAUCCAGCUGGCUCUUCUGCCUGCUCAGUGCCUGGGCUAACCCGCCGGCUGCUGGGGCUUCCCCCGCUCUCAGGAUGCCGUCUGCACGCUGGGAACCGCAUUUUGUACAGAAACUUGCUCCAUCCCAAGCACUGUGCAGUGCGGUGCACCUCACGGUGUGACUGGAGGGUGGCAACAGUGCUAGUGGUGCUACAUGUGAGUCGGGAUGAUAAGCCUGUGUGUUUGCAGAGCUUUUCUCCGGUCUCCUGCCUGUGGCUUUGCCUCCUGGGGCUUUGUCUCUGUCUCCAGUGCCUGAUGUGUCUUCCAGCAAAUAGCACAUGUUUGCUGGCAUAUGGACCUGCUUGUCUCUUGAGACAGCUGGAGUUGGAUGUGAUGUGUGGGAAUAUGGAGAAUGUCUCUGAGCUGCUUUUUCAUAAACCUUUUUGGAGAACAGCUAUCGAACCUUUAGAAGGUUCCUGUGCAGAUCACCUCCUUCAGAGAUCCCUUGUAGCUACCUCAGGGCCCGUGGGGUGCAGGAGGGGCCUGGGACCACGCUCUGACCCUCCCGGGCUGAUGCUGGUGCUGUCGGAGCUGGCGGCUGUUGCAGUCGGUGAGAAUUAACCGUCGUCACCUGGGGACUACGAAGGAGGAUUCAUGUCGUUCCCGGACGCAGAAUUCUCUUCUGCAGUUUAAUGAUUUGUUUUAAUGGCACGUAAACUGACGCAUUGCAGAGCAGUGCUCCAGAGAUAAGCCAUCCAUACACAGUCAGAGUUCUCCCUGGUGAUAAAAGACUCCUUUAACGUAGGAUAAGGAUCACGGCACCUGCUGUAAUCCACUUACCUCUGGGACUGCACAGCACACCUGCGUGGCACGAAGCAGGGUCUGACAUCUCAUUCUGCACGUGGAGCUGGAGCUGCUGUGGGAGUUAUCCCAUGUUCUGGAUUUUGGUAACAGAAGACUGCCCAGGUACUGCCCAUUUGUGAUUAAAGACAUUUGGAGAAGCCCUCCAAAAUUCAGCUUUUUAAGAC
rnacentral:lncRNA from 1 species